rnacentral:piRNA from 1 species
CAGGAAUUUUACUAAACUACGGUUUGAUGG